UACGUAGGGUGCAAGCGUUGUCCGGAAUUAUUGGGCGUAAAGAGCUCGUAGGCGGUUUGUCGCGUCUGCUGUGAAAACCCGAGGCUCAACCUCGGGCCUGCAGUGGGUACGGGCAGACUAGAGUGCGGUAGGGGAGAUUGGAAUUCCUGGUGUAGCGGUGAAAUGCGCAGAUAUCAGGAAGAACACCCGUGGCGAAGGCGGCUCUCUGGAACGCAACUGACGCUGAGACGCGAAAAGCGUGGGGAGCAAACAGG
rnacentral:rRNA from 1 species